CCCCCCCGGCUACGGCGGUGCCUCUCAUCGUGGCCACGGCCCUGCCUCCCCCCCCGCACGUUGUGGGCGGUGAGCGCAAAGCCCUGGCCACGCGACGCCGCAUAACCGUCCCCUCCCCCGCGGCCUGCCGGGCCAGGCUGCCCGCUAGUCCCAGUGUCUGCGCCGCAGAGCUGGGGGAAAGCCCCUAGAGCCCCCAGGCCCGGCCUGGCCCACGGGAAAUACCUGCCCUCAACAACGGGUGGGGACUUCGCCCCUUGUGAUGGCGGAGCCCUCGGCCCCACGGGCCCUUGGCCCCUUUCUCCCCGCACCCCUCCAAGCCGGGCCCUGGCGUUUGCACUGAGAGCCGGGGUGCCGGGAUUGUGAGCGCGGGCCCUGUGCGGAGAACCCCAGCAAUCAGUAACGUCGCCGGAAGGUCCCCGGUGGCAGCACCGCAUUCCUGCUCCCAGCGGGGAAGCUGAACCUUUAGCUCCCUGCUGUGCACAAUGCCGUUUGCUCCCUUCAUCGCUCAUCUGGAUUUUCCCCUGCCAUUGCCCUGAAUUCUUGGUGUCUCAUCCUAUGAACUUCCAGGAGUGAUGCCCUCUGUCGCUGGCAGAGCCUGUGGCUGUGCCCACCACUCAUUUCCAUUUCUCCAGGGCAGGACAACAAGCUUCUCUCAGUUCUUAAGCCACCCCUUCCUUCUGUUAUAAGUCUGAUUCCCAAAAGCCUCCUGGCUACCAUUAAUCUUGUCAAACCAAAAGUCACUUCUUAACCAUCUCCUUUCCUCAUAUUAAUUAGGGUCACCACCUCAGAUGCAGAGAAAGUGGCCAUUGCCGUGCCUACCACCAGCCAGACCUCCUUUCCCCUCCCUGGCAUUCUUGAGCACACACCAGCCCAAUCUUCCUUUUACCUUCUUAGGUGCCCACCACUUCCCCCAGACUGACCCCUGGCCCAUAAGCCCCUACAUCCGUGCCUUCCCAGGAGCCACUGCUCCUCCCCCUCCCCCCCCCCUCCCCCCCCCGCUCCCCACUGUUUCCUGCUCCAUAAUAGCAAGUCUUGGGUCUACCUGUCCUUCCCAAUCCCAUCUUUCCCAUUUCCCAGUGCCAGGAGCCUCAGCCACCAUGGUUUGGGCAUAUUGAGGGACCAGCGCACAGAGCAGGCCCUGGGUGUGGCACUGGUGGCACUCCCAGACAUGUGACGUAUGUGGUAGUUAGAAGUUUGCAGCACACCCAUUUGUGCUGCCGCACGUGUGAAUAGCUUACAGAUAAGAGAGAACAAAACAAAAACAUUGCAACCAGUAAGGCAGUAGAAAAAACCAUCCAAGCCAGUUGGAAACUGGCUAGGCAGCAACCCUAUUACUAAUAUAAUACAUGGUUACUUAUGAAAUAACCACUGCCAACACUUUGAAAGAACCUUCCACGUGAAGAACUAGAAGUACUUCACAAACAGUGAGUAAGGCUCACACCAACCCUGUGGGGUAAUUAUACAUCAUCAUCACAAUUUAUAGAUGGGGAAAUAGAAGCACAGAUUAAGGCUGGGAUUCACAAAGGUGUUGAAACACUGAGGGUCAUGGUGCCUAGGAAGUCCCAGGAACAACACUGCAGUUCACCAUGAAGACUCAGGUGCCUAAGCUCUCUGCAGAAUGAGUAGGGAGAGCUAACACCUCUCAAGGAGAUGGAUUACCUAUGCCAAUGGAGACCCCCUCCUGUCAGAGUGUAACUGAUUGGAACUGUUCAUCAAGGCAUAUCUCAGAGCUGUUGGCCACUGCAGAAUGGGAGGGAGUAAAAAGCAAUACAAAUGUACCUUGCUUACUAAAGUCAGCAGAUAUGACUGUCUACACAGAAAGAGCUGCAUUUUUGUUAUACAAGAUUACAAAGUCCAUCAUCACCAUUACCAGAGCUUGUGGUAUUUCACAUAUUUUAAAGUCCCAGCUCCUGGAGGCAACUAAUUAUGUGAGGAUCUCAGUUUCCUUUAAAAAAGAGAUUUCAGAAUACAGUCAGGGGGACUGGGCAGCCUGGAAAUACCCCAGUCAGGAGGGAGCGAGACCAUCUCCAUUCAAGCGAGGUGAUAGCGAGGCAAGCCGGCAGCCUAGAGUGGAUGCCUUCGCUGGAUCACAGAAGUGGAAUAGAGGUGCAGUUGCCCUGAACUGUAACACCUACAGGUGGAUGCUGCUUGGUAUUUGUUCAUUUUCAGCUCUUCUGCUGUGACUGGUAAAUGCCCUCUUUAAGGUCUUACAGAAAAAGCAGUCACCAUCAGCACAAAGUAAAAGGAAAGAAUGGUAUAGUAACCUUAGAAUUUAUUUGUAACAGUAAGUACAAAAAUUGUAGAUGCAAAUAAUUUUCAAUUUGACUGUCAUUUUAUAAGGCACAAUAAGAACUUUUGCUGUUCUGUUUUACCUAUCUCCAUCCAAAGACUUUGGUGUUCACACAUAGGGAAUUCUUCUGGAAGCUUUCACCACAUGGCCCACUGCUUCCAGCUUCAGAGUCAUGCUUUCCCAAAGUUCCCAGCCAUUUGGUUCUACAGUUUGGAUUUGCACCUCUCUCUAUGUAUCAUUUCUCCACUUCACAUGACUAUACCAUAGAAAAAGGAGCCAUCAUUUUAAAAUCUCUCACUCUCAUGAGCUCAGAAUUUUGAUCUCUUUUCAAGAGCAGAAAUGUUGUAAGCACCGUCCCUAAGCAGAGAGGAGGGUGAUCACAUAAGGCAGUUGGUUGCUAAUGGUUCCCAUGCAGUCAGAGACUCUAGCUCCAUUAAUUCUUUCCUGGUUAUUUAUGUCCCCCCAUCAUUUUCCUUCACAGGUACCUUGAACAUUGACAUAUACCAACCUGCUGCAUUGUGAUUAACAAAACAGGACCCCAAAUUUCAGUGUCUUAACACUGGAAACUUCUUAGAUACACUUUGCCUUCCUUCCCCCCCACCCCCAUACAUUGUAAGAAGAGCCAGUCUCUGUCCCUGCUUCACGCUUAAGGACGUACUUUAAGUAGCUGGACUAGGCGAGUACAUGGGAGAUAACCAUCUUCCGGAAAAUACUACUUCAAAACACAGAACUUUAUGAUGAUUAGGUUACGUUUGCUUAACCGAACCAUGUCAGGUGUGUGAAUCUGAAUUCCCCUUCCUCCCAAUUCUGGGGACGCUGGGAGAAGAGGGACAUGCCAAAGCUGUUAAUCUUAAAUGCUGUUCUCUCAAAUACUUCUGAAAAAUGCCACGAGUAUUAAAACAACAAAGUAAUUUCCUUGAAAAUAAUUAAAAUGGGGAUAGGAAAAAAAAUUCAUGAGCUAUGAUUUCAUGUAUGUACCAAUUCCUUAGUCUGGAUUAAAUUCCUGUGGUUUAUGAUGCUGCCAUGGAAAAACCAUAAAACAAGCUGCUAAGGCAACAACUGCAGUGGGAGGGAGAUAGGAAUGGUCAAGUUACAUGAGCCCAGUGCUGAGAACCUGGGAUUCUAAUUCAGGCUCUGACACUGAACCCUUUGUAACCUUGGACACAUCAUUUAACUUUGGUGCCUCAGUGUCUUCACCUGUACAAUGGGGCUAAUAGUGAUUUCCUGUUCAUUAUAUAGUACUCUUCAGAGGGUGUUAUAAAGAUUAAUGACAUUGGUAAAGUGUUUUGAGGUUGAAAAGCACUAUCCAAGUUCUAAAUAUCACUAAUUGUUACCUCUGUAAUGAUAAUUAUCUAUUAAAGAGGCCAUAUGUUUAAAAAUGAAACUAUCAAAAUGAUUUACAUGUUGACAUCACAAGCCUUGUCUCUAUGCUCCCUUGCAUCUGUACUGUUAUCCCUUGUUUUAUAUUCAUCUGGUUGAAACUGUAAAACUAGUGUUUGUCAGAUGGUGUUCCACAAGAAAUAUAAAUUGCAAUAAGAGGUUGUGUGCUGCAGAUGAGGUUCUUUUACUUUUUCUCUCUCGCAAUCUCAUGGGAAACCAUAGAAAGACAGCUGGAGGAGGUUUGAUUAAAAGAAAAAGAAAUCUGACUAAGGAUGUACCAACCUUUCACAGAUGUGAAUAAGCUAAAAACGAACCUUCUAAAGAAAACCACAAUUACUAAAAUGUGAUAUAAAUUACUUUAUUAAAAAUGUGCAAAUAUAAAAAUGUCACAACAGUAAAACAGUG